rnacentral:rRNA from 1 species
AGUGAACGCUGGCGGUAGGCCUAACACAUGCAAGUCGAACGGCAGCACAGUAAGAGCUUGCUCUUACGGGUGGCGAGUGGCGGACGGGUGAGGAAUACAUCGGAAUCUACUUUUUCGUGGGGGAUAACGUAGGGAAACUUACGCUAAUACCGCAUACGACCUACGGGUGAAAGCAGGGGAUCUUCGGACCUUGCGCGAUUGAAUGAGCCGAUGUCGGAUUAGCUAGUUGGCGGGGUAAAGGCCCACCAAGGCGACGAUCCGUAGCUGGUCUGAGAGGAUGAGUCGGCAAACUAGGAAUUAACCACAGUCCCGACUCCUACCGGAGGCCGCAGUGGGGAAUAUUGGACAAUGGGCGCAAGCCUGAUCCAGCCAUACCGCGUGGGUGAAGAAGGCCUUCGGGUUGUAAAGCCCUUUUGUUGGGAAAGAAAAGCAGCAGGUUAAUACCCCGCUGUUCUGACGGUACCCAAAGAAUAAGCACCGGCUAACUUCGUG